UAGCACCUAGGCAUCUCUCAUCUCUGAAAAAACGAACCGGAUGAAGAAGAAAGCUCUAAUGCCGGUGCUAAAUCAGAUAUAUAGCUGUCAAGUGUUGUAGUUCAUUUUUUUCUACCUUUCUCGAUGGCCAUUUCUAAGUCAAAUCGACGAAUACAUUU